rnacentral:rRNA from 1 species
GACGAACGCUGGCGGCGGGCUUAACACAUGCAAGUCGAACGGAAAGGCCCUGCUUUUGUGGGGUGCUCGAUUGGCGAACGGGUGAGUAACACGUGAGUAACCUGCCCUUGACUUUGGUGUAACUUCAGGUAACUGGGGCUAAGACCGUAUAGGAUCUCCUGCUGCAUGGUGGGGGGUGGAAAUUUUCGGCUGGUGGGGAUGGACGCGCGGCUUAUCAGCUUGUUGGUGGGGUAGUGGCUUACCAAGGCUUUGACGGGUAGCCGGCCUGAGAGGGUGACCGGCCACAUUGGGACUGAGAUACGGACCAGAGUCCUACGGGAGGCAGCAGUGGCGAAUCUUGCACAAUGGGCGGAAGCGUGAUGCAGCAACGCCGCGUGCGGGAUGACGGCCUUCGGGUUGUAAACCGCUUUCGCCUGUGACGAAGCGUGAGUGACGGUAAUGGGUAAAGAAGCACCGGCUAACUACGUG